rnacentral:lncRNA from 1 species
GGUAUUUACAGAAUGGGAAAAUUUUCCCCCGAUUCCCCGAUAAUGACGCAACUGACGCGGGCGCAGAUUUUACAGCUGGGAAAACUGAGGCUGGGAACAAUGGGGUGAUUUUGGCCAGGACCAGGCAAUCAGAGGAAAGAGGAAAACAACGAGCAAUUUGCAUAUUUCCCCGAAGAACCCUCUGAAGCUGAACAGCCUGUCCUUGGACUUAGAGAAAGGGACGCCCACGCUGCUUCUCCAGAAUUGGCAGAAUGAACGCAUCUUCAUUCUUCAGCAAGUGUGUUUGAUGCCUGCAGUAUUCUAAAGCAGAGAGAGUGAGGGGGAGAAGCAAGGGCAUCGUCUGCUCUGAGGCUUACAUUCCGUGUGUACACACAGGUAAGGCAAUCUGGGAAAAUACACUCUUUCGGUUAUUAACGAGCAAUAUU